GGGGGCAGCCCCGGCCCGCUCCCGCCGGGAUCGCGCCGGCCCCGCUCCGCCACGGGAGCGACGCCACCCGGGCAACAGCAGGGGACGGAGCUGGCAGAGAGUGUUUGAGACAUCUUCAGGAAUCUCAGGACCCAAGUCCCUAGGAUACAAACCCGUCAAAAACACCUUCUCUGAGGAACACGAAUGACUGCUCAUUGCGAAAUCACCCAGGAACGCAACAUUGCAGGGUGAAUGGUUUCCAUCUCUACAUGAUGACAUUGCUGCCUGGAACAGAUACAACUGCAGUGUGAAUAGAGAGCUAUCCUCAUAUGGCUGCAAGCACGCAAUGCUGAUGGAGUAAGAGUUGAGAGCUGGAUUCAGUCAGUUAGUCUGAAGGCCACCCAUCAUGCUUGUCUGUCUUCCUGGACUUCAAAUGCUGCAUAAACUGGAUUGGGCAAGGCAGUGAUCAGCUGUGUACCGCUCUAAAGCAACUAUUAAUAACAUGUUGUACUGCUACUGUGAUUUAUUAAUGAAAGUCACUUCAGUUAUCACGUCCUUAAUACUACUGAAGAUGCAGCAAGAGAAACUGCCAGUUUCACUCAGAGGACCUUAGGUCAGUCAGUCAGGAGCCUCCCACUCCAUAAGCCCUGAGAAGCUCCAGAAGCUGACACCAGUGAAGCGCUGAGGACCAGAAGAGUCUGUGGGCAACCUGCAGGGACUAUCCGUGGUGUGACUUUACCCCAAAUCUACCCAUGACAGUGGUCUGUCAGUGCUGAUAACAUCUCAGCACCCAAAGAGCCCACUGCUCUUGUCAGACCUGGAUAGAUAAAGUGGAAGGCAAGUUUGAAGAAUAAGUAUUGCAUUAUUGUAUUAUGAAUAAAUUGUAGGCUGGCAAUUUUUGUUACAGAUUAAGUAGGAUCUAAAUGAGUUAAUACCCAUGGAAUCCCUUUUUGUCUUCUCCUUUUAGUGUACUCUCCUCCUCAGUCUUUUUAUAUAACAUCUGUUUUAUUGUAUGUAAUACUGUAUAUUCAACAGCUAGGUUUACUUGCUGAUGACCAGAAACUCAACUGCCACUGCUAGUUGGGAUAGUACCAUAAUCUCUGCAGGGAGAGCAACAAGGGACUCUGCUGCUCUGAAAGGUCAGGGUACCUUAUCAAGAACUAGGUAUUACAGCAUCUGUGGAGGGUCACCAGAGGUUGAUUACCUUCUUUUUUUGUACCAUGGAACACAUUAGGCUGAAAUGACUUGCCUAAGGUCUUAAAACAGGGCAGUGACAGAGCUGGAAAUAAUCCCUGGAGGCAGGUGCUGUUUGUGACAUAUUUUCUGCAAAUACUGCUUUAUUUGGACAUUUUUUUGAUGAUUACUGCAAAUUUAGAAAAAUAAAGAUUUCUGCAUUACCAAA